UUUCAUGUCCCUCAAAAACAGUACAAUAGUUACAUUUCCGUAUGUGUAUCUAAAAUAAAUGUUUUAUGUAAAUGAGUAAUAUCUCAUGAGAGAUUAUAUAAACAAUCUAUGUAAUUUCACAUUAGUUUUUAAUACAGUGAUAUUCUUCAUUAAUACAAAUGUAACUUUCACAUUGAGCUUUUGACAAUCCUGAUAAUGUGAGCACACAUAACAUUCAUGUUUGAUCUUGUUUUUGUUACCUGAGGAGGAGAUUGUAGAUCUUGGAGGGGUCCCAAAGCCCUUCGGACCUCAGCUGUAUAAUGAAAAUAGAAUAUACAUAGUUAGAAAUGUGAACAAUCAUACAAGUAAUAACAAUUUAAUUAAAAGCAAAGUAAUAAUAAAAAAACAUACCUGUAGAACGGCCAAUGGUUGCUCCAUCAGGGGGGCUGCAUAUAAUGUCCGGGUGGGCAUACAACUUUAUAUUUUUACAGAUCUCAGUCGUCCCAGAGAAAGAAUCCCCCGGUACAUAAGGCCGGUUUCAAUGGCAACACCGAGGAGCAACCUUGAGGGUCAUCAAGAGCAUUCAGGGACAGAUGUGGAAGUCCCUGAUAUCCAAGACAACCAAGUACCGGGGGGUGCUUUGGAACCGCCUUUGUCACCAGCGGUAGUUCAAGAGGAGGUGGCUAGAGUGGAAUAUCAAGAUCAGG